AACGAACGCUGGCGGCAGGCUUAACACAUGCAAGUCGAGCGCAUCCUUCGGGGUUAGCGGCGGACGGGUGAGUAACGCGUGGGAACGUGCCCUCUUCUACGGAAUAGCCUCGGGAAACUGAGAGUAAUGCCGUAUACGCCCGCAAGGGGAAAGAUUUAUCGGAGGAGGAUCGGCCCGCGUUGGAUUAGGUAGUUGGUGGGGUAACGGCCUACCAAGCCGACGAUCCAUAGCUGGUUUGAGAGGAUGAUCAGCCACACUGGGACUGAGACACGGCCCAGACUCCUACGGGAGGCAGCAGUGGGGAAUCUUGGACAAUGGGGGCAACCCUGAUCCAGCCAUGCCGCGUGAUCGAUGAAGGCCUUAGGGUUGUAAAGAUCUUUCAGCUGGGAAGAUAAUGACGGUACCAGCAGAAGAAGCCCCGGCUAACUCCGUG
rnacentral:rRNA from 1 species